UGUGAACACUGCCACAAGAGAGACCUCAGGGACACAACCUUCAAAGCUGAGAAGUGUAAGGGGGAGAAUUAGAGAGCAGCUGGAGUGCAAAGUAUAUCAGCAAAUACUACAGGAGGAGGAGUGCAUGUGUCCUGAAUACAAGUUUCAAAGGAGAACUAGAGAAGGACAACUGGACAGUCCAGGAAACACAGACUGGACACGAGCAGGUAAAUGAGAAGAGGACGGGUGCUGCUUCCUGAAUCCCAAAUUUCUAUUCCCUGCGAUGAGGAAGCAGGGGCAAAGAGGGAAUGAGUACAUGAAUCAGUCUCAUACAGCUUGUAAAUGGUGGGACCAAGAUUGAGACAGCCUGAUUCCAGUGUCCAUGCACUUAACUACUAUGCGUGAUUAAACAUUAAUUUAAGUAUUAAUUAAUUAUUAAACAAAAAAACAAAGCAAA
rnacentral:lncRNA from 1 species